CGCAGCGACUCUGCGGAUUCCCGUGCGCUCCGGGCACAGAUCUUGGAAGCUGCAAAAGUCACCAGAAAGAAGCCGGAAAGCAAACAAAAGUCGCCCCCCUAAACAAGAGGAAGGUCCUCUCGGGGCUCUCCCGGAGUCCCCCGGGACAGCGACGCGCCGGCGGCGGCUAAAGAGCCGGGCGGAGGGACCCGGACCCAGGCCCGGAGUUGAAGGAGUCUCAGUCAAGCAGGAAUAGACUCGCGCGGGAGUUGGCUGCAACCUCAAUCCGAGGAGGAGGCCGAGCUCUCCCCAUCGCCCUCCUACCCCCACCUCCCCACCGGGAGCGGCGUCAGUCUGCGGAACCCGCAGAGGGGCUGGGCGUUUCCGGAUUGAAAGGCGCCCUCCGCCUCCAAGAGGGAGCUCGAGCUGCCGCGGGGGACCUCGCAGCUUGCAGGCGCCGCGGUCCUGGGGAGUCCGUGCCGGGGGGCGGGGGGGGGGUGUGCUCCGGGUUGAGCCCUGCCAGGACUCUGCGUGAGUUUGCAGCCAGAGACAAGUUAGAGCCCCUGAAAUGUGUUUAGGAGGAACAGGCAUGGUGGGUAAAUGAGUCUUGGGGCAUAUCCCUGGUUCCCGGUUUGGACUCUUGAUUAAUGAUUAAACUCUAACAAUUGAUGCAUCCAGACUGGCUGGUCACUUGCCCUCUGGACCUGUAGACCUGCCUCUAUGCUCACCCGAUUUUGGGGUCUUCCUUUGUGUCUCUGCUUUCAUGAUAUUUAUGUGACGCUCCAGUCGUCUGUCAGCAUUUCAUAAUUAAAAAUCAAACAUCCCUGAAAACUGGGACUGGCCCUCCAAGUAUGGUUUAGGAAACAGUACGAGAGAGCAAAGUCUGGAUUAGUCAGGCCUAGAGAAACUUACUUUAAAGAUUUUUGUAUCUAAAAAAAAUUUUUUUUCUGGCCCAAAUUGCCCAGAUGUACUAUUUGGCAGCCAAAAUUCUCUGAGAAUUGGCAUAACCCCUUCCUUUUCCCCCCCAAUAUAGUCAGGCAAAGAGUUUUAAGGUAGUAUCCCUUCUUACAGUGUUCUCAUAAGGCAUAAGAAAAAGUAGAUGCAACACCAAUCUAUUCAAAUCAAAAGAACUUAAAGACAGCAAUAGAGGAUUGAUGAUGCGCUGUCCUUCAAACAAAUUCAUUUUAACUAAAAGAACUAAAUAAAGUAUCUCUUGGGUUAUAGCAGUUUUAAUCAUACUUCCUAAACAUUGAACCAUGUUAAAUGGGUUUCUACUUAACACUUACAUAGUUCUGUGGUUUAUUUGUGUCUAUCAUAUCAUCCAAAUGUUCUAAAAUUGCAUAUGCAUUUAUCCUUAGACUUGCCAAUUCCAGAUUUAGAAAUGUAUUUAAAAGAUAAACGUGCAAAAAAUGAAAUGCCUGCUCAUUGAAACACUAUUUAUAAUGGCAAAAGAUU
ensembl:lncRNA